AAGAUCAUGCUUCACAGGAUCACUUCUGUAGUAGCUAAUCUUGCACUUCUUCCCUAACACGGAAGUAGAUUCAACCACGAUGAGGAGCAAAAGCUCCCUUCCUUGAGCGUGAGGACGACAUGAGUUCCUAACUUGCUUCGAGAACUCUGUCAUCGAUGAUCGUUCACCUUUUGCACUCAGUGCAAAGGGCAGGGGAAGGGGAGCAUUCUGAGUGGC